CCAGUGAGGUGGAAAGCUCGGCGGUCAAGGAUGGGCUCGCGGCCUAUCAGCUAGUUGGUGAGGUAAUGGCUCACCAAGGCCUCGACGGGGUAGCCGGGCCUGAGAGGGCGACCGGCCACACUGGGACUGAGAUACGGCCCAGACUCCUACGGGAGGCAGCAGUGGGGAAUAUUGCACAAUGGGCGCAAGCCUGAUGCAGCAACGCCGCGUGCGGGAUGACGGCCUUCGGGUUGUAAACCGCUUUCAGCUCCGACGAAGCGAAAGUGACGGUAGGAGCAGAAGAAGGACCGGCCAACUACGUGC
rnacentral:rRNA from 1 species